GAUGAACGCUGGCGGCGUGCCUAAUACAUGCAAGUCGAGCGAACAGACGAGGAGCUUGCUCCUCUGACGUUAGCGGCGGACGGGUGAGUAACACGUGGAUAACCUACCUAUAAGACUGGGAUAACUUCGGGAAACCGGAGCUAAUACCGGAUAAUAUAUUGAACCGCAUGGUUCAAUAGUGAAAGACGGUUUUGCUGUCACUUAUAGAUGGAUCCGCGCCGCAUUAGCUAGUUGGUAAGGUAACGGCUUACCAAGGCAACGAUGCGUAGCCGACCUGAGAGGGCGAUCGGCCACACUGGAACUGAGACACGGUCCAGACUCCUACGGGAGGCAGCAGUAGGGAAUCUUCCGCAAAGGGCGAAAGCUUGACGGAGCAACGCCGCGUGAGUGAUGAAGGUCUUCGGAUCGUAAAACUCUGUUAUUAGGGAAGAACAAAUGUGUAAGUAACUAUGCACGUCUUGACGGUACCUAAUCAGAAAGCCACGGCUAACUACGUG
rnacentral:rRNA from 1 species